rnacentral:tRNA from 1 species
UAAUCAAAUUAGAGCUUGAUAGAAAGCAUUUCAUUUACACUGAAAUUUUUUAC